rnacentral:lncRNA from 1 species
UCACAUUCAAAUCCGAUCGGACGGUACAGAGCGAAUUGUGAUGGACGAUCCAGAUUAGAUCGUGAUGGACGGUCUAAAUUCACUUUCUAUUUAAUUGUGAUCGAACGGUGCAGAUCAAAUACGAUGAGAGUCCUUUUCAAUGAUGUAUUCAACUCACAAUCAGAUUUAUGUUUAAAUUCAAAAACAAAACUAGAGAUUUUGAAUUUUUG